rnacentral:lncRNA from 1 species
AUGUUGAUGAUGGUGCAUUUGGUCGAGAGACAGAAAUCCCUUCAUAUCCCAAAUGUUGCUGUUGAUGCUGAUCGUGAUAUUGAUGUUGUUGAUGAAUCUGCUCCCAAUUCUUUGGAAUUUGAAACUCCAUUUCGUUUUUUCUAUCAACGUGGCGAAAAUUUCUACGGUCCACAGUGGGGACCACACUGGAAUCCAAAUAGCUACUAUUUUCGUAACCGAAACCACUAACAGGGUUCUUCGCGUUCAAGAGAUUGUUCCACCGAAACUUCAUCGACGCCGAUUCCGAUUCUCCACCACGCGCCGCUGCCAUGCUCUCACUAUACUGUGCCAUUGAUCGGUCCACUUCGCUGUAACGACCUGGAUAGCCAUCACGCGCUGCUACAUUGUUUGAUCGGUUUACUUCAUUGUAACGGUUUCGUUCAUCAUCCCGUUCGGGUAUUCGGAGCGGGUUAAUGUCCCUGGACCGCGACCGAACCGGUUGGGGUAAGCGAGAACCGGGUCGAUGGGUUGGGUUGGGCGAGUUUCUGUUUCUCCGAGGGUGACGAUAGUUGCGGUGGUUCCUCAUGGCUACUACCACAAAACGGUGCGUUUAAGAUGUUAGUGUUAGAAUCAGAAACGCCAUGGGUGUGAAAACCCUAACCGUACAUAGCAGUAGUAAUAGUAAUAGUACAAGUUCAGUUUGGGGAGGAAGAAGGAAUGUAGUUGAAACGAUGUCGUAUUGGAAUUUUGAAAAGUGUGUAACGAAGCCCG